CACGUAGGGGGCAAGCGUUGUCCGGAUUUAUUGGGCGUAAAGCGCUUUAAGGCGGUUCGGUAAGUCGGGUGUGAAACCUCCAGGCUCAACCUGGAGACGCCACUCGAUACUGCUGUGACUAGAGUUCGGUAGGGGAUCACGGAAUUCCUGGUGUAGCGGUGAAAUGCGCAGAUAUCAGGAGGAACACCGGUGGCGAAGGCGGUGAUCUGGGCCGACACUGACGCUGUAGAGCGAAAGCGUGGGGAGCGAACAGG
rnacentral:rRNA from 1 species